UUCGUCACUCCGUCACUCUUCAUCGCCGCUUGCAAUAACUUUCCACCAAUCCGCGAUGGGCACAGCGCCUCCCCCUGGUUUUGGAUGCACUUCCCCGACCUGUCCUGUUUCCAGGCUAACAGUCGACGUCACACCAGCACACCUGCGCUCUCUCCGAAAGGAGUUUUAUUCUAGGGCUCCGGUUACCGCCCGUCUCCCGGUAACAAUCCCUCCCGGGAGAGGUGCGUCUAAGCCCCUAGUGUAUUCGACCAACUGCGCCUCACUGACAUCCAUGCUUAGGGCGCUUUAAGUCGGAAGAUGCGCUCGUAAACGCCACGGGACCCAAAGGAAAAACGUGCCGCCGCGUGAGGUUCCUGAAAUUGAAACGACUCCCUGAAGCAUCGACCGCAGCAACCGGCUGAAGCUAAAAAGUUCGGCAGCAAAUCUCAGUCUGUCCUUAAAGUUUACUGGUGUGAAGCGGACUCGGAUUUCGAGAACUGGCUCCGGAUUACAAAAUCGGUUACAAUUGAAGAAGGGAAUCCCGGCAGCCACCUGAACUGACAGAAGUUCACAGACAAGGCCAAAUGAAUAAGCGUUUUGAAAGACGUGCACCAGAGAAAAGGAGAGCAAGAGCACGCCAUGCAGCAAGUCAAUAAAAUUCACCCCAAUGAAGUGGACGGCCGUGUCAGGAUCACCAGUGCCGGCCAAAAGCCGGUGCCUUUCAACACUGAGCAAGCGAAAUACGGCAAUGACUUCAUCGUGGAGAACAUCCGCAAGAAGCAGUGCAUCUACUAUGUGGAGAAGCCGCAGGAGGGGGUCCCUCAAGGGU